UAUUUCUUAGUUUUUUUUUCCGAUAAAAUUGGAAUGAUACAGAGAAGAUUAGCGUAGCCCCCGUGCAAGGAUUUGUCCUUAUGGCCGUAAAUGGAUUUGCUGUUUU